GUUUAUUUACCUUGUUGCUUCGGCGGGCCCGCCUCACGGCCGCCGGGGGGCACCUGCCCCCGGGCCCGCGCCCGCCGAAGACACCAUUGAACUCUGUCUGAAGUUUGCAGUCUGAGCGAUUAGCUAAAUCAGUUAAAACUUUCAACAACGGAUCUCUUGGUUCCGGCAUCGAUGAAGAACGCAGCGAAAUGCGAUACGUAAUGUGAAUUGCAGAAUUCAGUGAAUCAUCGAGUCUUUGAACGCACAUUGCGCCCCCUGGUAUUCCGGGGGGCAUGCCUGUCCGAGCGUCAUUGCUGCCCUCAAGCACGGCUUGUGUGUUGGGCCCCGCCCCCCGGUCUCGGGGGGCGGACCCGAAAGGCAGCGGCGGCACCGCGUCCGGUCCUCGAGCGUAUGGGGCUUCGUCACCCGCUCUGUAGGCCCGGCCGGCGCCCGCCGGCGACCCCAAUCAAUCUAUCCAGGUUGACCUCGGAUCAGGUAGGGAUACCCGCUGAACUUAAGCAU
rnacentral:rRNA from 1 species